AUAGGGAAUAGGGCCCUGGUAAGGUAGUGGACUAUAUAUAGGGAAUAGGGCCCUGGUAAGGUAGUGGACUACAUAUGGGGAAUAGGGCCCUGGUAAGGUAGUGGACUAUAUAUAGGGAAUAGGGCCCUGGUAAGGUAGUGGACUACAUAUGGGGAAUAGGGCCCUGGUAAGGUAGUGGACUAUAUAGGGCCCUGGUAAGGUAGUGGACUAUAGAGAAUAUGGCCCUGGUAAUGUAGUGGACUAUAUAUAGGGAAUAGGGCCCUGGUAAGAUAGUGGACUAUAUAUAGGGAAUAGGGCCCUGGUAAGGUAGUGGACUACAUAUGGGGAAUAGGGCCCUGGUAAGGUAGUGGACUAUAUAGGGCCCUGGUAAGGUAGUGGACUAUAUAUAGAGAAUAUGGCCCUGGUAAUGUAGUGGACUAUAUAUAGGGAAUAGGGCCCUGGUAAGGUAGUGGACUAUAUUUAGGGAAUAGGGCCCUGGUAAGGUAGUGGACUAUAUAGUUACUUUACUUGACAUUUAAAUGUAAAACUUGAGUCGGGCAUACCAACUGGGCUACAACAUAUGGUACCAAAUGGUUACUUUACCAUCUCUAAAUGGGUUGUAAAAUGGGCUAUCUGCUGUGAAUAUGGUCAGGGAUUGUCUCUGGGACUACUGGGUCAUGUAUGUGAGGGACCCAGAACGAAC
ensembl:lncRNA